rnacentral:SRP_RNA from 1 species
GGUGAGGGUCGUAUGGCUAGCUCCUCCUGAACUCCCCCAGGGCAGAAAUGCAGCAAGGGUAGGGGGUUGAGCGGUUCGAUACGAUUCCUCACUACU